GCGUGUCCUCCGCGGCGAGCGGCCGGUAUCCGCGCGCGUCCGGGCGGGACCGCGCGUCUCGCGUCCUCCGUGGCGAGCGCGCGUCCGCGGCGAGCGGCCGGUCUCCCUCACCAACGACAACGAGAACGACGGCCUGCUGCCGACCAACGUGUACUGUAUGGGGUCCUGCUCCGCCUCUCGGCCAAGGCCGGAGCUCUGCCGCCUCCACCUCGUCUGCCGCCGGUCAUGGCAGUCGCUCACCAACAACACCGAGGCCCACCAUCUUGACCUGAGCUGCUGUACUAGCAUCGUCAGUCGGUUUCGCAAACAACAGAUUGGUAGAAAUUAGCAUUCUUUUCGGAACUUCAACUGGUAUAUAUACUUACUAGAGUGGCACGGGGUCAUCGUUUAUGUAUGCAGCUUCCCUGAUUUCAGUCCGUAGUAAUCUCCUCUAGAAAAGAGUAGCGAAUCUUCUUGUUCCAGGAUGAAUCAGGAUGGUGUUUCAGAGGAGAGGAGUGGAGGCCCAGCAUACUUCGCGGACCACUGACUGAGCAGAUUAGAGGUUUGAUCCUGGAUUCUUUCUCAGUUAUCAUGCUCCAGCCACGUGUUUCUUUAUUUGGUUUGACAUAGAUUUAGCAACAAUAUGGCAUUUUUCAGAUCUAUGAUGACAGGCAUAGAAAUAGACUAAGGAGACUAUUUUGAUCUUGUCACUGUAUUUGCGGUCUUAUGUAUUUAUGAGCUUGCUGAAGUGGUCGUAAUCAAUCACACCUAAUGAGACACUCACCUAAGUGCAUUUGAUUCCUAGUAAUUAUUAUUGGUAGAAGACACAUUUAAACAUUUGAAAUAUUUCCUAAUCAGUGUGGUGUGUCAUUAUGUGCAAUAGCCAAUAGGUAUUGCGUCUUGUGCUGGUUAGAUCAAGUUUCUGGUGAACAAACAUAAAUUAUUUUUCUUAACCACAGUUUCCUACAACUGAACUAAAUCUUCUUAGUUUCAGAAAUAUAUCAGUAUUUUUCAUCUCAAAAGAGCUAAAAUGUUUGUUGGUAAGACCUAAUCAGCUACGCAAUGCAAUAAUCAAAUGUUAUAUCAUGAAAAAUUUAUAUUAUAAUUUGCUUUCACGUGAACUCUCAGCUUAUAAAUAAUGUUUGUCUGGAUGUAAUCUCAGACGGGAAGCUAUAUUGCAAUAUACAUUAUUCUUCAUGCGAUGUUUUUCUCUUAAAUAUCAACACAUUUUUAUUUCUAAACUCAUACUGUAGUGGUCGCUGAUGAAUCCUAAACUCAUCCUAAUCUGCUUCACUUCAAUGGCGGUGUGCCACAAUUAGAUUACAAGCCUAUAAUAUGAUUUCAUAUAAAUGAGAAGUUUAUUGUACUAGCGUCUUGAAUUGCUUUUGACAUUAAAGAUGUUUCUAGAAUCACAAAUGUCGCAAUCAUUAAAAUUAGUGUUCCCUUUUCUCUUUCAUGUAUUUCCCUUCUUUUUUUCAUUUUUAUUAUCUCUAGGGUGUGGUUGUUUUAGUCCAUGAUGCAAACUCCAUGAACUAUGAUGAUGCCAUCUUUUCUAAAUUUAUUGGACACACUUUUAUCAGCUGUUGCAGCAUGUUCACUUGGGCUUCCUUUGACAAUGACCACGGUAAAAUCUCUUAUAGUUUAUAAAGAUAGGGUACAAUCACGAUUGAGCUUUGGAGUAGAGGCAGAAACACCAAAUUCUUAGUUAAUUCGGACAGUGAGCUCAUCGAAACAGGGAGAAGCUCCUCAGUCCUCUCUCCGUGGUGGUGCCCGGCCCCUCAGUCCUCUUGCAUCAUUUGGGAUGGACCCGCCCGCCCCCUCAGAUGAUGCUCACGCCGGAGAAGGUCCUGCUUCGUCAACUAAAAGAAUCCGGUUGGAGCUAGUGGAUAAAAUGUCUGACAAUCCAAAAGUGCUUGUAUUCGAGAGCACACAACAGCGGUAUGAGGUCCCUCUGCGACAGCGCACACCCAAAAUAGGUGUUCUGUAGGUGAUGGUUUGCACCCACAAACAUAGCUAGUGGCUUGUCAUAAAUAUUUGUCUUGUGUGUGGUGUCAAAUGUCAUGACAUCUCCAAAAUCAAUAUAUUCAGCCUGCAUGCUAGCAUGACUCCAGAAUAAGCUAUGAAUUGCCCCUUCUUUAUCGAUCUUGACGUACCAACGAAAUUGUGGAUUCUGAGCCUUGCAGUCUUCAAAGAAUUCUAGAAGCUUCGCAAUGUCAUUGGCAUGUUCUGCCCUCACAUUAGCUGCCUUCCUGCAAAAUUUGUUACUGUUACAUGUUUGUACUUAACAGAUCCUAUUUAUUUAAUGGAAUAAGAGUUGCUCCACACUGACCUGUUCUCUAGGUCACGCUUUGUUAUCGGA